rnacentral:lncRNA from 1 species
ACAUUCAUAAGGGGAUAAAAUUGCGACCAAAUCAGCACGGAAAACCCCGCGACAAACUGAUUUUGAACAGCCACACCUCAGUUGAGCUCGAACCAACAACCCAAUUUCGCCAAGGUAAACUUAAUUGCCUUUAAUGUUUGUACUCAAUUUAAACGGAGGUUCUCAUAUUGGAACAAAGCUUGGAGCAAAAUGAUUAAACUCAAAGCCAACGUACAAGGAAAUUGAUUCCAACAAACAGAGACCAAACUCCAACCGUCGACCUCCAACAGGACUUCGCCGGCGACCUCGAAAUCAUCCUUUUCACGUCCAGAUCUGAACAACAAAACCCUCCAAUUCGGGUGGAGAUUGGCUGAUUUGUGUGACUGUGCGGAUUGGUUUUCAAGUGGUUUAUAAACCGGCGACCUCGAAAUCAUCCUUUUCACGUCCAGAUCUGAACAACAAAACCCUCCAAUUCGGGUGGAGAUUGGCUGAUUUGUGUGACUGUGCGGAUUGGUUUUCAGGUGGUUUAUAAACAGGUUUUCAAA